GGAAACCUCACCCGGGGCGACAGCAGGAUGAAGGCCAGGCUAACGACCUUGCCGGACGAGCUGAGAGGAGGUGCAUGGCCGUCGUCAGCUCGUGCCGUGAGGUGUCCGGUUAAGUCCGGCAACGAGCGAGACCCCCGCCCCUAGUUGCUACCCCUCCCUACGGGGAGGGGGGCACACUAGGGGGACUGCCGGCGUAAGCCGGAGGAAGGAGGGGGCCACGGCAGGUCAGUAUGCCCCGAAACCCCGGGGCUGCACGCGAGCUGCAAUGGCGGGGACAGCGGGAUCCGACCCCGAAAGGGGGAGGCAAUCCCGUAAACCCCGCCCCAGUAGGGAUCGAGGGCUGCAACUCGCCCUCGUGAACGUGGAAUCCCUAGUAACCG
rnacentral:rRNA from 1 species